rnacentral:lncRNA from 1 species
UCUCUCUUCCUUUUCAUUUUUCUUUCCCUCUUUUAUUUUAUCUUUUUUUUAGAUUUUUUUAUCAAUUUCCUAUCCUUUCCACACCUAUCUACAGCCUAAUUGGCACAUCGAAACCAGGUGUAGUGCCCUCUUUUAAUAGAAAAGGAUGGGCGACACCAUGGGAUGCCAACUCUUGGCAUCCCUUAAUUCCUACAUGACAUUCUUUAAUUUUUCCCAUGGAAUUCAAAGGGAUGGCAUGGAAAAUAGAAAGGUUAACUAGUAGAAGGACUCUUCCUCUACCUAGAAAAAAUAUAACACCAUCAUAUGGUGCAUGGGAUAAGAGGGAGGACGUGAAAGACCAAGAGUCUAUGAUAUUAUGGACUCUUCCAUAUCAAUGCAAAUAUAUGGCGUCCCAUUUAUUAUUGGC